AGAGUUUGAUCCUGGCUCAGAGCGAACGCUGGCGGCAGGCCUAACACAUGCAAGUCGAGCGGACGUAGCAAUACGUCAGCGGCAGACGGGAGAGUAACACGUGGGAACGCGCCCUUCGGUUCGGAAUAACUCAGGGAAACUUGGGCUAAUACCGGAUACGCCCUAACGGGGAAAGAUUUAUUGCCGAAGGAACGGCCCGCGUCCGAUUAGCUUGUUGGUGAGGUAACGGCUCACCAAGGCGACGAUCGGUAGCUGGUCUGAGAGGAUGACCAGCCUCACUGGGACUGAGACACGGCCCAGACUCCUACGGGAGGCAGCAGUGGGGAAUAUUGGACAAUGGGCGCAAGCCUGAUCCAGCCAUGCCGCGUGGGUGAUGAAGGCCCUAGGGUUGUAAAGCCCUUUCGGCGGGGAAGAUAAUGACGGUACCCGCAGAAGAAGCCCCGGCUAACUUCGUGCCAGCAGCCGCGGUAAUACGAAGGGGGCUAGCGUUGCUCGGAAUUACUGGGCGUAAAGCGCACGUAGGCGGCUUCUUAAGUCGGUGGUGAAAUCCUGGAGCUCAACUCCAGAACUGCCUUCGAUACUGGGGAGCUCGAGU
rnacentral:rRNA from 1 species